rnacentral:rRNA from 1 species
CAGCCGCCGCGGGAAUACGAAGGGUGCAAGCGUUACUCGGAAUUACUGGGCGUAAAGCGUGCGUAGGUGGUGGUUUAAGUCCGUUGUGAAAGCCCUGGGCUCAACCUGGGAAUUGCAGUGGAUACUGGAUCACUAGAGUGUGGUAGAGGAUAGUGGAAUUUCCGGUGUAGCAGUGAAAUGCGUAGAGAUCGGAAGGAACAUCUGUGGCGAAGGCGACUAUCUGGGCCAACACUGACACUGAGGCACGAAAGCGUGGGGAGCAAACAGGAUUAGAUACCCGUGUAGUCCCUGUCUCUUAUAA